UUCUGGAUGAGCUGAGGGUAGGGGUGAAAGGCUAAUCAAACUUGGAGAUAGCUCGUACUCCCCGAAAUGCAUUUAGGUGCAGCCUUGCGGGUUACUGAUGUGAGGUAGAGCGACUGAUAAGAUGCGAGGGCUUCACCGCCUAUCAAGUCGUGAUAAACUCCGAAUGCGCAUUAGUUUGAGGUCAGGAGUGAGGGCAUGGGUGCUAAGGUCCGUGCCCGAGAGGAGAAGAAUCCGGACCACCUGCUAAGGUCCCGAAAUGACAGCUAAGUUAAACUAACGAAGUCUGACUGCUAAGACAGCUAGGAUGUUGGCUUGGAAGCAGCCAUUCAUUCAAAGAGUGCGUAACAGCUCACUAGUCGAGGAGUCGGGCGUGGAUAAUAAUCGGGUAUCAAGUUGUCUACCGAAGCAGUGGGAUCAUUUAUAUGAUCGGUAGGGGAGCAUUCCAGUCAGCGUCGAAGGCGUACCGUGAGGUAUUCUGGAGCGUCUGGAAAAGCAAAUGUAGGUAUAAGUAACGAUAAAG
rnacentral:rRNA from 1 species